rfam:Erysiphe necator strain c c-strain-scaffold_4769, whole genome shotgun sequence.
AGUGCAGCUUUGCCUAUUGGCUUAGAUCAAGUGUAGUAUCUGUUCUUUUCAGUUUAAUCUCUGAAAGUCUUCUACGGAAGACACAUUGAUUAUACUAAUUUUUGAUAUUCGAAUGGGGCCCUCUGGGCUUGCUCACGACCUCGCUCACAGUGUCAUCGGUAUUACACUGCCUCCGAUUGACGCGAAGCAAA